rnacentral:rRNA from 1 species
UACAGAGGGUGCGAGCGUUAAUCGGAAUUACUGGGCGUAAAGCGCGCGUAGGUGGUUAUUUAAGUUGACUGUGAAAUACCCGGGCUUAACCCGGGGGUGUCAGUCAAGACUGGGUAACUAGAGUAGGGUAGAGGGGAGUGGAAUUUCCGGUGUAGCGGUGAAAUGCGUAGAUAUCAGGAGGAACACCGAUGGCGAAGGCAGGUCUCUGGGCUGACACUGACGCUCAUGCACGAAAGCGUGGGGAGCAAACAGG